rnacentral:tRNA from 1 species
UCCCUGAGGGUCCAGUGGUUAAGACUCCGCACUCGCAGUGCAGAGGGCACAGGUUUGAUCCCUGGUUGGGGAA